rnacentral:rRNA from 1 species
GACGAACGCUGGCGGCGUGCUUAACACAUGCAAGUCGAACGAAAAGAGGGAAAGAGCUUGCUCUUUCCGGAAUUGAGUGGCAAACGGGUGAGUAACACGUAAACAACCUGCCUUCAGGAUGGGGACAACAGACGGAAACGACUGCUAAUACCGAAUAAGUUCCAAGAGCCGCAUGGCCCAUGGAAGAAAAGGUGGCCUCUACCUGUAAGCUAUCGCCUGAAGAGGGGUUUGCGUCGUGAUUAGCUGGUUGGAGGGGUAACGGCCCACCAAGGCGACGAUCAGUAGCCGGUCUGAGAGGAUGAACGGCCACACUGGAACUGAGACACGGUCCAGACUCCUACGGGAGGCAGCAGUGGGGAAUCUUCCGCAAUGGGCGAAAGCCUGACGGAGCAACGCCGCGUGAGUGAUGACGGCCUUCGGGUUGUAAAACUCUGUGAUCCGGGACGAAAAGGCAGAGUGCGAAGAACAGACUGCAUUGACGGUACCGG